rnacentral:rRNA from 1 species
GACGAACCGUGCGAACGUUAUUCGGAAUCACUGGGCUUAAAGCGCGUGUAGGCGGGUCGGCGCGUCGGUCGCUGAAAUCCCCCGGCUCAACCGGGGAAGGGGCGCCGAUACGGCCGGCCUGGAGGGACGUAGGGGGGGCUGGAACUUCCGGUGGAGCGGUGAAAUGCGUUGAGAUCGGAAGGAACGCCCGUGGCGAAAGCGAGCCCCUGGACGUCUACUGACGCUGAGACGCGAAAGCCAGGGGAGCGAACGGG